GACGUAGGGCGCGAGCGUUAAUCGGAAUUACUGGGCGUAAAGCGUGCGCAGGCGGUUUUGUAAGACAGGUGUGAAAUCCCCGGGCUCAACCUGGGAACUGCGCUUGUGACUGCAAGACUCGAGUACGGCAGAGGGGGGUGGAAUUCCACGUGUAGCAGUGAAAUACGUAGAUAUCUGGAGGAACACCGGUGGCGAAGGCGGCAUCCUGGACCAACACUGACACUGAGGAGCGAAAGCCAGGGGAGCAAACGGG
rnacentral:rRNA from 1 species